GUAAAUUAGAGAUUAGUGGCACUAAUAAUAUACUAGAUUGCCUACUUACAACCAGAUGAGAAUGGUGAUGGUCUCUGGCUGCAGUCUGGCUCCACUGGUCUGGUGUAGAACAGGCUCUCUGGAGACUGUUUGUAACUGUGGUCACAAAAUUCAAUGUUCUGGGAGAACGGGAAGCAGCUCCAUUUUUUGGGGGCCCCUUGCCCAGCUCAAGGUCUGGGCCCCAGGGCCUGACGGUGAGUAUGCCCAUAAGGCUCACCCAUAAGUCCAC